CCAGACUCCUACGGGAGGCAGCAGUGGGGAAUAUUGCACAAUGGGGGAAACCCUGAUGCAGCAACGCCGCGUGAGUGAAGAAGUAUUUCGGUAUGUAAAGCUCUAUCAGCAGGGAAGAAGAAGGACGGUACCUGACUAAGAAGCCCCGGCUAACUACGUGCCAGCAGCCGCGGUAAUACGUAGGGGGCAAGCGUUAUCCGGAUUUACUGGGUGUAAAGGGAGCGUAGACGGCGAUGCAAGUCUGAAGUGAAAGCCCGGGGCUCAACCCCGGGACUGCUUUGGAAACUGUAUGGCUGGAGUACUGGAGAGGCAAGCGGAAUUCCUAGUGUAGCGGUGAAAUGCGUAGAUAUCAGGAGGAACACCGGUGGCGAAGGCGGCCUGCUGGACUGCAACUGACGUUGAGGCCCGAAAGCGUGGGGAGCAAACAGGAUUAGAUACCCCCGUAUA
rnacentral:rRNA from 1 species